CUUUCCCUCUUUCUUUAGGCCUAACACAUGCAAGUCGAACGGCAGCACAGUAAGAGCUUGCUCUUACGGGUGGCGAGUGGCGGACGGGUGAGGAGUACAUCGGAACCUACUUUUUCGUGGGGGAUAACGUAGGGAAACUUACGCUAAUACCGCAUACGACCUACGGGUGAAAGCAGGGGAUCUUCGGACCUUGCGCGAUUGAAUGAGCCGAUGUCGGAUUAGCUAGUUGGCGGGGUAAAGGCCCACCAAGGCGACGAUCCGUAGCUGGUCUGAGAGGAUGAUCAGCCACACUGGAACUGAGACACGGUCCAGACUCCUACGGGAGGCAGCAGUGGGGAAUAUUGGACAAUGGGCGCAAGCCUGAUCCAGCCAUACCGCGUGGGUGAAGAAGGCCUUCGGGUUGUAAAGCCCUUUUGUUGGGAAAGAAAAGCAGCAGGUUAAUACCCCGCUGUUCUGACGGUACCCAAAGAAUAAGCACCGGCUAACUUCGUG
rnacentral:rRNA from 1 species